ACGCUGGCGGCGUGCCUAAUACAUGCAAGUAGAACGCUGAAGAGAGGAGCUUGCUCUUCUUGGAUGAGUUGCGAACGGGUGAGUAACGCGUAGGUAACCUGCCUUGUAGCGGGGGAUAACUAUUGGAAACGAUAGCUAAUACCGCAUAACAAUGGGUGACUCAUGUCAUUUAUUUGAAAGGGGCAAAUGCUCCACUACAAGAUGGACCUGCGUUGUAUUAGCUAGUAGGUGAGGUAACGGCUCACCUAGGCGACGAUACAUAGCCGACCUGAGAGGGUGAUCGGCCACACUGGGACUGAGACACGGCCCAGACUCCUACGGGAGGCAGCAGUAGGGAAUCUUCGGCAAUGGGGGCAACCCUGACCGAGCAACGCCGCGUGAGUGAAGAAGGUUUUCGGAUCGUAAAGCUCUGUUGUAAGUCAAGAACGAGUGUGAGAGUGGAAAGUUCACACUGUGACGGUAGCUUACCAGAAAGGGACGGCUAACUACGUGCCAGCAGCCGCGGUAAUACGUAGGUCCCGAGCGUUGUCCGGAUUUAUUGGGCGUAAAGCGAGCGCAGGCGGUUUGAUAAGUCUGAAGUUAAAGGCUGUGGCUCAACCAUAGUUCGCUUUGGAAACUGUCAAACUUGAGUGCAGAAGGGGAGAGUGGAAUUCCAUGUGUAGCGGUGAAAUGCGUAGAUAUAUGGAGGAACACCGGUGGCGAAAGCGGCUCUCUGGUCUGUAACUGACGCUGAGGCUCGAAAGCGUGGGGAGCGAACAGGAUUAGAUACCCUGGUAGUCCACGCCGUAAACGAUGAGUGCUAGGUGUUGGAUCCUUUCCGGGAUUCAGUGCCGCAGCUAACGCAUUAAGCACUCCGCCUGGGGAGUACGACCGCAAGGUUGAAACUCAAAGGAAUUGACGGGGGCCCGCACAA
rnacentral:rRNA from 1 species